GGGGAGCUCUCUGAGCCGCCUCCAUGGAAGGUGGUAGUGAGGCGAGCACUUUUAGGUUAAAGUGGAGGUAGAGUAGCAGGAGACACCAGAAAGAGUCUUCCAACCUUGGAACCUGCCUGCUGGCCAGAUCCAGAGCUCCUCUGGCUGUCGAGCAAGACUUUGAGCAGAGUAGCCUCUAGAGGGCGCGCUGGCCCCGCGCACCGGGACGCAGUGUACCGCCCCAAGGACUCCUUCCUCUCACAGAGCAGGAUUUAGCACAGUCCGUAGUUAAACACGUGAGAGCCUAGCACAUGGUAGUACCCACGAGCCGCCCUGGGACUGAGAACAUCUUCCUCUACCUCCAGGGUGCAAGGAGCAGGAGUCAGAGUGUGCCUAACGCAGGGCAUGAAAAAUAUGUGUCAAGUCUAUGCUAACGUCUGAGGGUCCGGGGCUGGAAGUACAGGAGGGAGGUCCCAGGAGCGCUUAGGAUCGUAACGUGGAUUUUGACCUGAAACCUGCGAAGACAAACCUUUACAGGCCCCAGACAGUGAGACGUGUAUGGAGACGGCAAAGGCGGCUUUCAGCCGGGCCACUCUCAUCCACACUCCCAGAGGGUCCGAGUCACUGCGUUGGCUCCUUGGAGACCUGUCUGUGCUGAGAUUAGAAAGCCACCGCCACCCCCUCCCCAGCCAUGACACAGCCCUCAGAAACGGAAUUCCCUAGCCCCCAUCUUCUCUGCUCACACAUCGACACCCAUGCCACCUGACUGCUCCUUUCUACCUUGGGCAUAUUCACUGGACUAUCUGUCUACAGUGUCCCGCCCAUCUCUCCUACUUAGGGUUAGUGUUGCUAUGAUGAAACACCAAAGACCAAAAGCAAAGUGGGGAAGCAAAGGGUUUAUUUGGCUUGUUCUUGCACACUGUGGUCCCAUCACUGAAGUCAGAAAAGGAACUCAAGCAGGGCAGGAGCCUGAAGGAAGAAACUGAUGCAGAGGCCAUGAAGGAGUGCUGCUUACUAACUCGCUCCUCCAUGGUCUGCUCAGCCUGCUUUUUAUAGAACCCAGGACCACCUUGCCCAAGGAUGGCACCACCCACAAUGGGCUAGUGUUAAUACCAAAGAUGGAAGGAGAAAGACCACCGACCCAAUCAUUAUGGUCAAAUUAAUUAAAACAAGAAAUAAUUAAAGC
ensembl:antisense Gm13496 predicted gene 13496